rnacentral:rRNA from 1 species
UACUUAGGGGGCAAGCGUGGUCCGGAUUCACUGGGUGUAAAGGGCGCGUAGGCGGGUUAGCAAGUCAGAGGUGAAAUCUCCCGGCUCAACCGGGAAACUGCCUUUGAAACUGUUAAUCUUGAGUGCGGAAGAGAGAGACGGAAUUCCAGGUGUAGCGGUGAAAUGCGUAGAUAUCUGGAGGAACACCGGUUGCGAAGGCGGUCUCUUGGUCCGUAACUGACGCUCAGGCGCGCAAGCGGGGGUAGCACACAGGCGGCGAUCACCGGGUAGUCC